rnacentral:rRNA from 1 species
UACGUAGGGGGCAAGCGUUGUCCGGAUUUAUUGGGCGUAAAGAGCGUGUAGGCGGUUUGGUAGGUCUGUUGUGAAAACUCGAGGCUCAACCUCGAGACGCCGAUGGAAACCAUCAGACUAGAGUCCGGAAGAGGAGAGUGGAAUUCCUGGUGUAGCGGUGAAAUGCGCAGAUAUUAGGAAGAACACCCGUGGCUAAGGCGGCUCUCUAGUACGGUACUGACGCUGAGACGCGAAAGCGUGGGGAGCGAACAGG